GUGCUUUAUAAUGGUGAUGUUUGUUUUGUAUGCUUAUGUGUUUUUAUAUUUUUAAUAUCUUAGAUGCUUUUAUUGACCAUGUAAUGUGAGUCAUUGGUAUCUGCUAGAGACAUCAUCUUCUCCUGAUUGGUGGUAAUUGCUGACAGAAGCAUUUCUUGGCAGCAUCAUUGGAAUACUUCUUCACUGAAUCCAAAAUGAGGACUUCUUUGGAUCCCAGAAUUGUGCUAGAGAUGCUUUGCUGUAGUGGCUGGUGGUACCCAGGACAGAGACUGUCAAUCAAAGGACCUUGCUACCCCCACAAGAAAGGUAGGUGCCUGAAUAGGCUGACCAAUUUGAAUGUCCUGUUUUCAGGUGACAGUGAUGGGUCUACAGGUCUACAUGACCCAACUAGAGUUAAGACCUUGUCUAGAGAGAGGCAGGAAUUUUGGAAGUCUUUCUCCUCCUGAGACCAUGAACUGUAAACAUCACAUGAAUCUACUGCUUCUUUCCCUCCAUGUGAGAGAACUCACUGGAAAAGGAAGCCAAUGCAGAGAGAAGUGACCUAAGAGAUGGAGACUACCUGAUUCAUG
rnacentral:lncRNA from 12 species